GGUGGUAGCUCACUGGUAGAGCGCUUGCCUAGCAUGUGUGAGGCACUGGGUUUGAUACCCAGCACCA
rnacentral:tRNA from 1 species